rnacentral:rRNA from 1 species
GAUGAACGCUGGCGGCGUGCUUAACACAUGCAAGUCGAACGAAGCAUUUGCGACAGAUUUUUUCGGAAUGAAGUUGCUUAUGACUGAGUGGCGGACGGGUGAGUAACGCGUGGGUAACCUGCCUUGUACUGGGGGAUAGCAGCUGGAAACGGCUGGUAAUACCGCAUAAGCGCACAAUGUUGCAUGACAUGGUGUGAAAAACUCCGGUGGUAUAAGAUGGACCCGCGUCUGAUUAGCUAGUUGGCGAGAUAACAGCCCACCAAGGCGACGAUCAGUAGCCGACCUGAGAGGGUGACCGGCCACAUUGGGACUGAGACACGGCCCAGACUCCUACGGGAGGCAGCAGUGGGGAAUAUUGCACAAUGGAGGAAACUCUGAUGCAGCGACGCCGCGUGAGUGAAGAAGUAAUUCGUUAUGUAAAGCUCUAUCAGCAGGGAAGAUAGUGACGGUACCUGACUAAGAAGCUCCGGCUAAAUACGU